rnacentral:rRNA from 1 species
GAUGAACGCUGGCGGCGUGCCUAAUACAUGCAAGUCGAGCGAACGGACGAGAAGCUUGCUUCUCUGAUGUUAGCGGCGGACGGGUGAGUAACACGUGGAUAACCUACCUAUAAGACUGGGAUAACUUCGGGAAACCGGAGCUAAUACCGGAUAAUAUUUUGAACCGCAUGGUUCAAAAGUGAAAGACGGUCUUGCUGUCACUUAUAGAUGGAUCCGCGCUGCAUUAGCUAGUUGGUAAGGUAACGGCUUACCAAGGCAACGAUGCAUAGCCGACCUGAGAGGGGGACCGGCCACCCUGGAACUGAGACACGGUCCAAACCCCAGCGGGGGGCAGAAGGGGGGAAUCUCCCGAAAGGGGCGAAAGCCGGAGGGAGAAACGCCGCGUGAGUGAUAAGGGUCUUCGAAUCGUAAAACUCUUUUAUUGGGAAAAAACAUUUGUGAAAGAAAGUGUGCACCUCUGGAGGUUCCAUAAUCAAAAGCCCACGGCAAACUAGGGC